GAAGAGAGGGGCGCGGUGGUGCGGCAGAUAAGAAGGAGGGAUUCCAGGUCUAGACUUCGCCCUCUCUGUGUGCGCGUUUCACCGUCUUCUCCCGACGUAGCCACCACCAGGCUCGCGACGACGGAGGCAGGGGAAGUAGUGUACGUCGGCGGCUGACUCGAGGCGGAGGAGUUAGACGUAGGGAGAAGCAGCGCGUGCCGUUGUCCCACUCCCAACACUACCCUUGCGGCCCUACCGCCGCUCUUCACCUGGAAACUCGACCGACGGCCAGGAGAGUCCAUGUUCUAAAAUGAGGUACGGUAUCUGCACGUUGUACUACCAAAUUGUAUGGUUUCAAUUACCCGAUAACACACUUGAUACGUCCAAGCCCUCUGUUCCUUCCUUGGUCUACGAGGGUUUCAAGAAGACCAACUCAGCUAAUGAAUGAUCGUUACUAUAAGUGUUACCCUUCGGAAAUAUCGUCCGAUGAAACUAACUAAGGGUUUGAUACCGAAUCAAUGUUUACAAAACCACCACUACAAAGUAUGUGGUCAGGUCACAACGAUGGGUUACUACUCAACAUACUUCGUGAAACUUUACGAAACUUCUUUCAUAAAAUCCACCACCAAGAUGACGACGAUGAGGACACUGUCGGUUCCGCAUCCAACGUCGAGCGUCUCAAAAUUCCUACUUUCCUUCUGUGAAAGAAAAACCUCUCUGGAAGUUCACGUGCACCUUCACAUCAUUCGUUGUAAUACGCUGUUACUGUGUGAAGAAUAACCACGCAAGUGUGGGAGAUUUCUGGUGUUAGUCUGAUUCUACGGAUUUAUUCGACACUCCGACGUAUAUAUAUUCACAAAGACAUUUGGCUAUAUUCAUCAAUAAGAUGAUAGACAUUAUGUUAGGUGUAACGUA
rnacentral:rRNA from 1 species